rnacentral:rRNA from 1 species
UACGGGUUGACUUGAGGAAGGUAGGGGAGAAUGGAAUUCCUGGUGGAGCGGUGGAAUGCGCAGAUAUCAGGAGGAACACCAGUGGCGAAGGCGGUUCUCUGGGCCUUUCCUGACGCUGAGGAGCGAAAGCGUGGGGAGCGAACAGGCUUAGAUACCCUGGUAGUCCACGCCGUAAACGGUGGGUACUAGGUGUGGGGUCCAUUCCACGGGUUCCGUGCCGUAGCUAACGCUUUAAGUACCCCGCCUGGGGAGUACGGCCGCAAGGCUAAAACUCAAAGGAAUUGACGGGGCCCCGCACAAGCGGCGGAGCAUGCGGAUUAAUUCGAUGCAACGCGUAGAACCUUACCUGGGUUUGACAUGGAUCGGGAGCGCUCAGAGAUGGGUGUGCCUCUUUUGGGGUCGGUUCACAGGUGGUGCAUGGCUGUCGUCAGCUCGUGUCGUGAGAUGUUGGGUUAAGUCCCGCAACGAGCGCAACCCUUGUUCACUGUUGCCAGCACGUUAUGGUGGGGACUCAGUGGAGACCGCCGGGGUCAACUCGGAGGAAGGUGGGGAUGACGUCAAGUCAUCAUGCCCCUUAUGUCCAGGGCUUCACGCAUGCUACAAUGGCUGGUACAGAGAGUGGCGAGCCUGUGAGGGUGAGCGAAUCUCGGAAAGCCGGUCUCAGUUCGGAUUGGGGUCUGCAACUCGACCUCAUGAAGUCGGAGUCGCUAGUAAUCGCAGAUCAGCAACGCUGCGGUGAAUACGUUCCCGGGGCUUGCACACACCGCCCGU